rnacentral:rRNA from 1 species
UACAUGUGGGGCAAGCGUUGUUCGGAAUUACUGGGCAUAAAGGGUGCGUAGGUGGUUUGUUAAGUCACGGGUGAAAGUUUUCGGCCCAACCGGAAAAUUGCCCGUGAUACUGGCGAACUUGAGUGCGUGAGGGGUAACCGGAACGAGCAGUGUAGCGGUGAAAUGCGUAGAUAUUGCUCGGAAGGCCAGAGGCGAAGGCGGGUUACUGGUGCGCAACUGACACUGAGGCACGAAAGCCAGGGGAGCAAACGGG